GACGAACGCUGGCGGCGUGCUUAACACAUGCAAGUCGAACGGAAAGGCCCUGCUUUUGUGGGGUGCUCGAGUGGCGAACGGGUGAGUAACACGUGAGUAACCUGCCCUUGACUUUGGGAUAACUUCAGGAAACUGGGGCUAAUACCGGAUAGGAGCUCCUGCUGCAUGGUGGGGGUUGGAAAGUUUCGGCGGUUGGGGAUGGACUCGCGGCUUAUCAGCUUGUUGGUGGGGUAGUGGCUUACCAAGGCUUUGACGGGUAGCCGGCCUGAGAGGGUGACCGGCCACAUUGGGACUGAGAUACGGCCCAGACUCCUACGGGAGGCAGCAGUGGGGAAUAUUGCACAAUGGGCGGAAGCCUGAUGCAGCAACGCCGCGUGCGGGAUGAUGGCCUUCGGGUUGUAAACCGCUUUCGCCUGUGACGAAGCGUGAGUGACGGUAAUGGGUAAAGAAGCACCGGCUAACUACGU
rnacentral:rRNA from 1 species